GAGGAGUGACAUCACCCCAGCCCCCGCAGCCCCCCCUUGAGGAAGCAUGGCGUGGGGGGGUGGCAGCCCACACACAAUGCCCAUAGCUGACUCGGAGACCCCGUUCGGUCCCGUGCUGGACAGGCCGCCGCUCUCAGAGGGCCGCCCAUCCAUUCAUGCGUUCGCCUGCUGACCCAACGCCAUUCAUUGAGGCACUGGGGCCGCGCGCCAAAGCGCCCACGGGCGGACCCGCGGCUUCCACGGGGCGACAUGGGCCGGCCCGGCGCUGCUGGCCGGCGCCGCGCCAGCGCACGGGGCGCUUCUAAAUUCGUCCUCGGUCCCCUCCCUCACGCCCUCGCCGGCCGGGGGAGGGCGGGAGGAGGUGGAGGCGCGAGGGGCCGCUAUGAGGAUCCUGAGAGCCAUGGCCAUGCAGAAAAUCUUCGCCCGGGAAAUCCUGGACUCCAGGGGCAACCCCACGGUGGAGGUGGACCUGCACACAGCCAAGGGU
rnacentral:lncRNA from 1 species